AGAUCAGGUGUCAGAUUGACAUUUAAAUAAGAUGAACUACUACGCAUGUGAAGGUUUAUAAAUCAGAUAGGAAAAUGAGAUUAAGAGAACACUUUCUCUGUAGAAAAGAUGAAAAAAAACUUACUAUUUGUCGUUAGUGUGUUACUUUUACUGGAAUGCUUAGUAGCUCAAGAAUGCAGUUCAGAUCAGUGGCAAUGUAAGGUUGGACCCUGUAAAGAUUGUGGCAAUGGAACAUGUAUUGAUAGAGCAUUAUUAUGUGAUGUCGACUUCAAUUGUGAAGACAGGUCUGAUGAGGUGAAUUGUACAGUUUUCAGUCCGUGUAUUGAAGGUUUAAAUUAUCGGUGUGAUAAUGGACAAUGCUCGAAUAGAUGCAAUGGAAUUCCGGACUGUCUCGAUGGUUCUGAUGAAGUCAAUUGUGACAUACAACCGUUUACGGUAUCGUCGAUAUCGUCUUCAUCAUCGGUAUACAUUACAUUGUCCUCACUACUAACACAAACAACACCACUGCCAAGAGAUAAUACAGAGCCGUCACUACAUACAGAGAAAACAGUGUCUUCGUUUCAAUCAGACAAAACAGAAUUUACAAUAAAAAAAUUGACAACAGAACCAAUAACAU